rnacentral:rRNA from 1 species
GACGAACGCUGGCGGCGUGCCUAACACAUGCAAGUCGAGCGCUGAAGCUUUGUACUUGUACCAACUGGAUGAGCAGCGAACGGGUGAGUAACGCGUGUGGCAUCUGCUUUUGUGUGGGGGACCAUAAUUGGAAACGAAUGCUAAUACCGCAUAAAAACUUUAAACACAAGGUUUAUGUGUGAAUGAUGCCAUUGCAUCACUCACAGACGAUUCCGCGUUGUAUUAGUUAGUUGGUGAGGUACAGGCUCACUAAGGCGUGGAAACAUAGCCGACAUGAGAGGGUGGUCAGCCACAUUGGGACGGAGACACGGCCCAAACUCAUACAGGAAGCAGCAAGAGGGAAACGUCGGCAAUCGACGGAAAUUUGACCAAACAACGCGGCAUGCGGGAAGAGCGACGUCGGGUCGGGAAACACUGUUGGUGGGGAAGAACGUGGGUGAGCGUGGGAAGCAGCUCGAGUGACGGUAACUACCAAAGAAGAAACGGCUAACUACGUG